rnacentral:tRNA from 1 species
GCCGGGAUGAUCCUGGUGGUCCGGGGUGCAGGCUUCAAACCUGUAGCCGAUUGACGUCGGAGUGGUUCGAUUCCACCUUCUGGC